GUCCUGAGCACUCUAGCCAGCUUGGCUGCUCCACACUCCCAGCUAUCCCCUCACCUCAGAGUCACUUGCUUUGCCUGGGUUCUCCCUCCGUGAAAUACAUCCUCUCAAGCGGUAAGCUGGGCAACCGAGGGGUUCUCCUUGUUUGUUUCUUGCCUCUGAGAGAUCACUGUCUUUUGUUACCUCAUGUCCAGUGUCUUGAAACUCAUUAUUUCAUGUAUUUACUGUUUGGUUGGUUGUUUCAGGCAGGAGGAUAAACUUGGCCCCUGCUCCUCCAUCUUGGCUGGAAAGGGAAGUUGUAUCUGUACUUUCAGUCAAAAAUUUUUUUUUUUUUUUUUGAGACUCUGUUGCCCAGGAUGGAGUGCAGUGGCGCAAUCUCGGCUCACUGCAAGCUCCGCCUCCCGGGUUCACGCCAUUCGCCUGCCUCAGCCUCCUGAGUAGCUGGGACUACAGGUGCCCGCCACCACGCCCAGCUAUUUUUUUGUAUUUUUAGUAGAGAUGAGGUUUCACCAUGUUAGCCAGGAUGGUCUCGAUCUCCUGACCUCGUGAUCUGCCCGCCUAGGCCUCCCAAAGUGUUGGGAUUACAGGCAUGAGCCACCACGCCCAGCCUUCAGUCUGUUUUUGUUCAAACUGUGGAGCUGCAGAUUAAAGUUAUUCCAUUUUAGGGAAAAUGUCCACCAUACAUCCUACUUGCAAAGACUAUCCUCUCUGUCAAACCUGUGAGCCAAUUCUGACCUUCUAACAGAAAAAGUCUGAUUUUAUUUUUCCAUUCAAAUCAAUGUGGUUAAUAUGUAUCCUGUGUCAACCAUCUCACUUUCAGUUUAAAUUCUUCUUUAUUUCUUUUUUUAGAGUUAAGGUCUCGCUCUGUUGCCAGGCUGGAGUGCCAUAAUGUGAUUAUGGCUCACUGUAACCUCGAACUCCAGAGUUCAAGUGAUCCUCUUGCUUCAGCCUCUGGAGUAGCUGGGUCUACAGGCGCAUAUCACCAUGCCCAGCUAAUUUUUAUUUUUAUUUUAUUAUUUAUUUAUUUAUUUUGAGAUGUAGUCUCGCUCUGUCACCCAGGCUGGAGUGCAAUGGCAUGAUCUUGGCUCACUGCAACCUCUGCCUCCAGGGUUCAAGCGAUUGUCCUUCCUCAGCCUCCUGAGUAGCUGGGACUACAGGCAUGCUCCACCACGCCCGGCUAAUUUUUGUAUUUUUAGUAGAGACAGGGUUUUGCCAUGUUGGCCAGGCUGGUGUUGAACUCCUGACCUCAGAUGAUCUACCUGCCUCGGCCUCCCAGAGUGCUGGGAUUACAGGCGUGAGCCACCGCGCCCGGCCCAUGCCCAGCUAAUUUUUAAAAUUAUUUUUUGUAGAUACGGGAUCUUGCUAUGUUGCCCAAGCUGGUCUCAAACUCCUGGCCUCAAGCCAUCCUCCCACUUCAGCCUUUCAAAACACUGGGAUUAUAGGCAUGAGCCACUGUGUCUCACCUGAAGUUGAAUUAUUUUUAAAAAUUUUUAUUAUUUUUUCCUUUUUAAUAUAUAUUUAUAUAUUUUACAAUAUAACAUGUCAAUGAAUUUGAAUUCUUAAAUGAAGAAGGCACAGAACUGAGCCACAGGGCUGCCCCUGUGAACUUUCUCAAAGAAGCUCUCCAGGCUUUGCUCUUUCAAGGACUUCCUCAAGCAGAGCAUUCUCAAGUGGCCCUUUUAUUUGUUUUUUACAGCGCAGAGCAAGGAGCCAGAGUAGGAUUCAGAAUGAGGGAGGGGAGGCAACUGGGAAAGUGGAAGUUGGGAAGGACAGCUGUCAGGCCUGUGGCUUCUUAGGCCCACCAAUAUAAGGAGGGGAACAUAUGGAGAAGGCGGCUCUGGAAACUGAUUACUUUAAAACUAUCUGUGUCCACCUACCUUCUAGAAAGUCUUCAUGUCCUUGUAGGGGAGUGCAAACCCUCGUGUGAAGGCCUCUGACACCAAGUGUGAGAAGCCAUUGAUGGAGCCAUUACUGCUUCCUUCGUUGUAGCAGAAGGGAUGGGGAGAGGAGCAGGCAGGAGCGGGGGUAGAGCUUCUUUGAAGAAAGAGUCCUGAGGCUACAAAAUUUGAAAACUGCUGGAAUAAACGAUCGCCAAGGCCCCUUCCAGUCUGAGACGCUUGGUCUUCUGAAGCCCAGCUCAAGUUUUUCCUCCUCCAGAAAGCCUUUCUUGUUACCCAGUCCUGGGUACUUGAGCUCCAACAAUAAUGAUGAUGGCAGGCAUAUGGUGCCGUCCGUGAGCCAUCCGAUGCCUGCAUGUGUGCAUAAGCUGUCUCCCCAGCUAGAAGGAAAGCACAGGAGCCUGCUUCCAAAGAGGGACUGUCCCGUAAUUGAGAGAUGCUCCAAGGCUGACCAUCCUCCUUCUCCUGCUGCACACCCAGCAGCCAUCUAUGGCUGGAUUUGGAGAAUUUCUGGUCAAACCGUAGAGACGGGGUUUCACCGUGUUAGUCAGGAUGGUCUUGAUCUCCUCACCUCGUGAUCCGCCUGCCUCGGCCUCCCAAAGUGCUAGGAUUACAGGCGUGAGCCACCGCGCCCAGCCGAUCUUACUCACUCCUUAUAAAACCUCACAGAGGAGGUAUUUUCUUCAACUGAUAGAUUUGAAAACAGGUUCAGUGACAGAUGAAGAGCUGGUACUCAAACCCAGUUCUUCCGACUUGCAGUCCUGUGCUCUUUCUGCUGCAGUCGUCUGCUCUUUCUCUUGCCAGACAGAUUAUUGAGCACGUGCUGCACUCCUAAUUCCCAUCUUAGAGCCUUGGAACUUUCUCUUCCCUCUGCCUGGGUUGCUCUAUCCCCCCCGAUAACUGCAUGGCCCUCUUUUUUAUUCUGGUCUUGUUUCAACUAGUACUACCUCAGAGAAGCCUUUCCUGACUACUCUCUCUAAAAUAGUCACCCACCAGGUCUCAAUCUCCCUAUCUUGCUUUAUAUUUUUUUCAUAGCAUCUGUUGCAAUUGAAUAUUAUAUUAUAGAGUCGUUAUGUUUAUUGCCUAUCUUUCAUGUGGAAUGUGAGUGCUGGGAGAACAGGGGUCUGUUGCAUUUGUUCAUCUCCAUAUCGCCAGUGCCUUGGUAGUGCCUUGCACAGAGAAGGCGUCCUGGAAAUGUUUGUUGAAUGAGUGCUAGGCUGGCUGCUAAUAGUGGUGCUAGGAUGAAGAAGACCCGGUCCUUGCCUUCUAGGCACUCACAGUAGUUGGGAGGUGUUAACAGACCAACAUGUUGAAUGCUGUGAGUGGAGAAGUCACAGAGGGCUGAGGGAGCUCAGAGAGGGCCCAACUUUGACAGGGGGUGGGGUGGUCAGGGAAAGUUUGUGGAAGCAACUGCCAUCCCUCCACCUACCCUGUCAUGGGCCAUGGAGCACGGAGCAGAAGAUUUGCUUUGUAAGGAUGUGCACAGUUGGGAGAGGGAGUUGGGACACCCCCUCACCCCAAGGAACUUGUCAGAAAAGAGUUAGCAAGAGUCUUCUCCCAAAAUUACUCAUAAGGGCAAUACUCUGUGCAUGUGUGCAGCCCCACUCCUUGGGUAUAGGGAGAGGUAGAGUCUCAACCCCAGUGGCAGGAUUGCAGACCCAGAUUAGGAAAAGGUGGCUACAGAACAGAGUGCCCAGGGCCAUGGGGGGUUCCCAGAGGGGUUCUGGACUGGUCAGCCUUGCAGAGCCCUGUCUUCUUCUCCCCUGCCUCUGCCUGGCUCACCCAGCCUGCUCACCAGAGUUUGUGUAGCUCCCAAGGAGAGUCAGACCUAUGCGGAGCCAACCCUGGCUUCCAGUCCUGGCUGCUGCACUGCUGAAGGGGCUGUGAGCUGCAGUCCCAGCCUCAGUGGCAGAUGGGCAUUGCCCACAGAGGCUGAGUUCAGCCCAGAGACUGAGAAGAGGAACUAGGAAGGAAAAACAUGCUCUUUCUUUCUUUCCCAGAAGGAUGGCAGGCUGGCCCGGCAGUACAGGAGAGAAUGACCUUCAUGCUGAGGGUGAAAUGGGGGAGCAGUGGAGGUGGGCUUCUGACUCAAACACCCUUUGGCUCUGGGGCCUUGGGAAAGACACACAAUUCUUGGAGCAUUGGCAUCCUUGUCUGUUGAAGAUAUGAGAUAAUGCCCACCUCUUGGGUUUGGUGUGGGAAUUAACUGAUGUAACAUAUGUGAGGUUCCUGGCACAGGGUCUGUCACGUGGAAGACACGUUUGCUUUCCUGCCCCUUCCCACGGUCAGUGCAGCAGGGAGCAUAUACUUUUAGAAGUGUGUUUGUAUUUACAAUUUGUCCUCUUUUGGCACCUCAGAUAAUAUAUCUCCAUUUUAGAACUUCUCACACCUUGAGAAUCUCACUACCUAUAUAAAUACUUUCCUUCUUGUUAUCCAAAAGCUGCAUUAAAAUUUGAUCUCAUGAUUUUAAUCACUGAUACUUAUUUUUUACAAACUCAACAUUUAGGAAAAUAGGAAUUUGACCAAAGUUGUUCUAAAGCAAGACCUCAGAUGACUCCAUAAAGUUAAUAACGUAAGCAGCCAGUGUCCUGGCAGAUAAAAUACUCUGUAGGCCAAUCCCUGUGGGCCAGUGAGAAGGUGGAUAAAUGGCCUAGGUUGUGUGUGUAAGUGUGGACAUAGACCUCUUUAAGAUGUUAAAUUCUGCGGGUUUUUCUUGAGCACUGUCCUGUGCUUUAGCAUUGUCCUUGCUCCUAGAGGCCUGAAGAUGACCCAUCAGCCUUGGUCUCCCUCUUCAGAGCAGGGCUUGCCUUCUAGAGGUCAGGAGAGUGGGGCAGCCUGGGUGGAGGUGGGGGGCCUGUUCCAGCUGCCCAUGGCCUUAGAUAACUGAUCACUGGGCUUGUCUUAGGAGCCAGGGCCCCACUUGGAGUGUUGGUUUCUUUUGCAUUAGGGGAAGCCAGCAUUCCAGAGGAUACGGGAGAAGAGUGGGUGCACUCUUGGUUACCCAGUUUUCUAAAACCUCCCAAGUCCACCCUUUUCCUUAGCUGGCUCUUGUUCAAGGGGGAUCUUAGCCUCCACCACUGGUUUGCUUCUGCUGGAGUCUCCCUGGCCCCAGCUCCUUCCCUUUAACUCCUACUAUUCCUCUUCAGGGACCUAGGAUCAGCUGCCCCCAAUCUCACCCUUCCUGACUGUGCCCACCAUUAUCAAUGUGGCAGAAUUUGAAACCUUCCAUAUUCUGACUGCUGUAGAGCCAGGCCUUUUCUUCAAAACUCCCAUGAGAAAAACCGACCUCCACUCUUCUCAGAAUAAAAGCUUUCUCUUGUCACCUCCUGCUGCCCUCUGAUCUCAGGAGGCUCAGUAAAAUAGGAGUUAAGCACCCCAGGGCUACACAGGGGUUUUUUAUUCUCACUCCCUCAGUUCCAUGGCCCUCACUGGGAUGAGUAACUUCCAGGGUUGCCUGCCCGGGCCUGCAGGCCUGUACGCCAAGUGAGUAGGGCAGGCAGGGGGAUGGAAAGUGGGGAUGCAGGCCUCAUUUAAGAGGCCAGCAUCCCAGCAAUCAGGGCCUGGCUGACAGGCUCCUAGACACAGAGACCAAACCUGGAAGCCCCAUAAGGGGCAAAUGUAUAUCGCAUUAACUAUACCCCCAAGCCCACAGACACACAGCCAGGUGAACAUCAGUGUGAUCCCACAGAGUGGCCAGGACAGAUGGGGAAGCAGCUCAUAUCACUAGGAAAAUAAAAAGGUAAUUUUAAAAACA